rnacentral:rRNA from 1 species
UACGUAGGGUGCGAGCGUUGCCCGGAUUCAUUGGGCGUAAAGCGCGCGCAGGCGGAUGCACGCGUCCCGCGUGAAAUCGCCCGGCUCAACCGGGCGGGGUCGCGGGAUACGGUGCGUCUGGAGCACGGGAGGGGGCAGUGGAAUUCCCGGUGUGGUGGUGGAAUGCGUAGAGAUCGGGAGGAACACCAGUGGCGAAGGCGACUGCCUGGACCGUGGCUGACGCUGAGGCGCGAAAGCGUGGGGAGCGAUCCGG